rnacentral:lncRNA from 1 species
UAUUUUUGUUACUUUCCUUAUCUCCUUCUUCUCUCUUACUAAUUUUUGAUUUUGGUAUUAUUUAAUCAGGAAUCGAAGAAGACAUCUGGGACGAUCAAAAAGAAAAUUUCUGGAAAAGGAAUGUUGUAGAGGUUUGCCUAAAAAAAUUAAAAAAAUUUGCUGGAGAAAUUUUCUUUGGUAACCUCUAAAUCUUUCUUAUUUAAAUUGAUUCCCAGUUUGCCUAAAAUUUUGUGGUGAUUGUUUGAUUUUAAUUUCAGCGAAAGUGUGAAUGCAUGGUUGAUACACAUACACCAAUUAAUCCGCACAUAGUAAGGGCAAUCACCCCAACAAGAUAAGAACUGGAUUUCAUCACCAGAUUCUUGCCCAAAUUAGGUGAAUCAAUUCUCACAUAGUUACCACUUUAAUUAAAAUCAAUUAGACGUUGGCCACUAGGGACAUUCGAGCUCAGUAGGACGAAGAUCACCGAAAGUUGCACCAAUUUCGCUCUGUGGCUCAGUUGAUGUCUAGGCAAGCUUUGUCCCCUUAAGGGAGACAGUUCAUCUGUUC